AUAUAAUAAUACUAUGAUUUAUCUGUGGUAUAAUUAAAAUACCUUGUCACUGCUACAUCAGCAACACAUCAAUUAUCAAGUCAACUAAGUUAAAUCAUGGAACUUGAUUAUAAUAAUUUUGAAAAACCUCGAACAAAAAAUUAUAGUAAAAUAAAGUUUGAGAACCAAAGCGUCAUGCGCUUUAUAUAUCUAUAUAUAUAGAUUGAGAUCUGGUUUCUCGCCAUUAAUCUUUUCCGUCGAUUUUCGCCAAGUUUUUUUUGCUGGAUCUUAAGCCUGUCGGGUUCGUCUUGCGCCACUUUAAAAGCGUGCCAAUAGGGUGGAACGUGGUCGUUGUAUCGCUGGAAGUAAUUGCCGGAAAGCCUCGCACGUGAAGAGACAAUUUCGCUUAUAGGACAGUGCUCUGCAUGCCUCGAUCCACAGAUCUUUUCUAAACUUUUUCUUUACAGCAUUUAUUAUUAUUUAUUUUUUUCCUCAGAUCUUUUCUGAAACUUAAAUUAAACUUUCGAAUUGUUUUACAGAAUAUUGUAAUAAAAUAUCAGAAAGAUUUUUCCAUCAGCAAAUGUUAUAGGAACAAUUGGAAGAAGA
rnacentral:lncRNA from 1 species